GAUUUCUGGUUUGAUACAGUUUACCGGCCACGGUUUCGUGUGUUAGUGUUUUCUGUUCUGACCAUCCUUCCAAUCGCUGCUCACUUUUCUUCAUUGAUUUGUGAGUGGUAUUGGAUCUUUUACUUUGAAAAAAUUAGAGUGUUUCAAGCAGGCUUUAUGCUAUGAAUACAUUAGCAUGGAAUAAUAAUUUAGGACUUCGGUUCUAUUUUGUUGGUUUCUAGGACUGAAGUAAUGAUUGAUAGGGAUAGUUGGGGGUGCUAGUAUUCAGCGGCCAGAGGUGAAAUUCUCGGAUUCGCUGAAGACUAACUUAUGCGAAAGCAUU
rnacentral:rRNA from 1 species